GGGCCGUUAGCUCAGUUGGUAGAGCAGUUGACUUUUAAUCAAUUGGUCGCAGGUUCGAAUCCCGCACGACCCACCA
rnacentral:tRNA from 2 species